GCCCUACGGGACGCAGCAGUGAGGAAUAUUGGUCAAUGGGCGCAAGCCUGAACCAGCCAAGUCGCGUGAGGGAUGACGGUCCUAUGGAUUGUAAACCUCUUUUGUCGGGGAGCAAGGCCCGCCACGUGUGGCGGGAAGGAGAGUACCCGAAGAAAAAGCAUCGGCUAACUCCGUGCCAGCAGCCGCGGUAAUCCGGAGGAUGCGAGCGUUAUCCGGAUUUAUUGGGUUUAAAGGGUGCGUAGGCGGAAGGUUAAGUCAGCGGUCAAAUUUCGGUGCUCCACACCGGCCUUCCCUUGAAA
rnacentral:rRNA from 1 species